rnacentral:rRNA from 1 species
GAGUUUGAUCGUGGCUCAGGAUGAACGCUGGCGGCGUGCCUAACACAUGCAAGUCGAACGAAGCAAUUAAGAUGAAGUUUUCGGAUGGAAUCUUGAUUGACUGAGUGGCGGACGGGUGAGUAACGCGUGGAUAACCUGCCUCACACUGGGGGAUAACAGUUAGAAAUGACUGCUAAUACCGCAUAAGCGCACAGUGCCGCAUGGCAGUGUGUGAAAAACUCCGGUGGUGUGAGAUGGAUCCGCGUCUGA